GCGGGCGUGGUGUACGGUACACCGCUGUGAAGACUAAAAUGUUGAGUUGUGAGAUUAAAUUCGGCAGCUGAACGGGGUUCGACUCCCCGCGCUCGCA